UGAGGGUUUGAUCCUGGCCCAGGACUAACGCUAGCGGCGUGCAUUAGGUAUGCAAGUGGAACGAGUCCCGUAAGGGACGAGUCGCGAACGGCUGAGUAACACGUAAGAACUUACCCCUUGAUGUGGAAUACCUCGUCGAAAGACGGGCUAAUACCGCAUAAGACCUCCGGGUGAAAGCACUUAACUGUGCGUCGAGGGAAAGGCUUGCGGCCUAUCAGCUUGUUGGUGAGGUAAAAGCUCACCAAGGCUACGACGGGUAGGGGACGUGAGAGCGUGCACCCCCAGAAUGGCACUGAGAUACGGGCCAUACACCUACGGGUGGCGCAACCGGGAAUCGUGCGCAAUGGACGAAAGUCUGACGCCGCGACGCCGCGUGAGGGAUGAAGGUUUUUGGAUUGUAAACCUCUUUUGCCAAGGUAGAGAUGCCUUGGAGAAUAAGCAUCGGCUAACUUCGUGCCAGCAGCAGCGGUAAUACGUAGGAUGCAAGCGUUGUCCGGAUUUAUUGGGCGUAAAGCGUCUGUAGGUUUUUUGGAAAGUCACUCUUCAAAGCCCGGGGCUCAACCUCGGAAAGGGGAGUGAUACUGUCAGAAUUGGAAUGCUUCGGGGCUACUGGAACUUAACAUGUAGGAGUGAAAUCCGUUGAUAUGUUAAGGAACACCGAGGGCGAAGGCAGGUAGCUAGGAGUUAUUUGACACUGAGAGACGAAAGCUAGGGGAGCGAAAGGGAUUAGAGACCCCUGUAGUCCUAGCAGUAAACUAUGCUCGCUAGGGAUAGGUCCCGCAAAGUACACAUAAAUCGUUUUAAUAUGCGAAAUGUGUUUUUUGCGGGAUCUGUCUCGUAAGCUAACGCGUUAAGCGAGCCGCCUGGGGAGUACGAACGCAAGUUUAAAACUCAAAGGAAUUGACGGGGACCCGCACAACCAGUGGAGCAUGUGGUUUAAUUCGAGACGAACCGAAGAACCUUACCUGGGUUUGACAUUCUAGGCAUAGUCUUUUAGAGAUAAUUGAUGAUCCUUGAUUUUCUUGGAACCUAGAACAGGUAUUGCAUGGCUGUCGUCAGCUCGUGCCGUGGGGUGUUCCCUUCAGUGGGGUAACGAGCGCAACCCC
rnacentral:rRNA from 1 species